rnacentral:tRNA from 1 species
CCGGCGCAGGCGGUGCGCCUGGCGGCCCCAGGCCGCCAGGUUGAGGCGGGCCGCCCGUUCGAGCCGGGGCUCGGCCCUGGCACCGGCC